CCUCUGUUAGGUUUUAACUCCAACCCUGAUCCUGGAGCGCUACCCUACUGUAGGUUUUAACUCCAACCCUGUUCCUGGAGCGAUACCCUCCGUUAGGUUUUAACUCCAACCAUAAUCUAGCGGUUCUGAUUCCAAUAAUUAGCUGGUUGAUGAGCUGAAUCAGGUUAGUUACAACUGGGGUUAGAGCCAAAACCUACAGGAGGGUUAGCAUUAAAACCUGCAGGAGGGUUAGCAUUAAGGAGGGUUAGCAUUAAAACCUACAGGAGGGUUAGCAUUAAAACCUACAGGAAGGUUGGCAUUAAAACCUACAGGAGGGUUAGCAUUAAAACCUAGAGGAAGGUUAGCAUUAAAACCUACAGGAGGGUUAGCAUUUAAACCUACAGGAGGGUUGGCAUUAAAACCUACAGGAGGGUUAGCAUUAAAACCUACAGGAGGGUUAGCAUUAAGGAGGGUUGGCAUUAAAAUCUACAGGAGGCUUAGCAUUAAAACCUAGAGGAAGGUUAGCAUUAAAACCUACAGGAGGGUUAGCAUUAAAACCUACAGGAGGAUUAGCAUUAAAACCUACAGGAGGAUUGGCAUUAAAACCUACAGGAGGAUUAGCAUUAAAACCUACAGGAGGGUUAGCAUUAAGGAGGGUUGGCAUUAAAACCUACAGGAGGAUUGGCAUUAAAACCUACAGGAGGGUUGGCAUUAAGGAGGGUUAGCAUUAAAACCUACUGGAGGGUUAGCAUUAAGGAGGGUUGGCAUUAAAACCUAAAGGAGGGUUAGCAUUAAAACCUACAGGAGGGUUAGCAUUAAAACCUACAGGAGGGUUAGCAUUAAAACCUACAGGAGGGUUAGCAUUAAAACCUACAGGAGGGUUGGCAUUAAAACCUACAGGAGGGUUAGCAUUAAGGAGG